CCCCUAGAUGUUCUGGGCCGCACGCGCGCUACACUGAACAGUUCAACAAGUCUUAACCUUGGCCGAUAGGUCUGGGCAAUCUUUGAACGCUGUUCGUGACUGGGAUAGACCUUUGCAAUUAUGGGUCUUCAACGAGGAAUUCCUAGUAAACGCAAGUCAUCAGCUUGCAUUGAUUACGUCCCUGCCCUUUGUACACACCGCCCGUCGCACCUACCGAUUGAAUGGUCCGGUGAAAUCUCGGGACGGCGGCUUGGUCGCUUGCGUCCGACUGCUGAAACUUGAUUAAACCAUAUCAUUCAGAGGAAGGUGAAGUCGUAACA
rnacentral:rRNA from 1 species